rnacentral:lncRNA from 1 species
CAGGCCACAUAGCAAAUUUUGGUUAUACGCUGCAAGUGGUUACGUGCCCUCUUGGGAGCGUUCUACCGUUCUACCGCAAGAAUUUUUCAAAUUGGUUCAUUAAUAGCCGAGACAGAAAUAUUGCAGUGCCGCGAACCCAUCAUUUCAGGAAGCGAGUGUCACGGACAAUAAAA